CAUGGACCCGGUGCAAUCCCGGGUGGCUAUUCCGGCCGCCUAUCCGCCGGACAACA
rfam:Erythrobacter sp. SG61-1L scaffold_1, whole genome shotgun sequence.